AAGAAUUUUGGUAUGGAAGAAACUCCACAGGUGCCUGGGUCCCCAUUCAGUCCAGUGUGAAGUGCAUUGAAAAAAGAAGGCCUCGCCCAGCACAGCCGAGGAGGAUCACUACACAGAGCUCCAGCCAUAUGAGAAUGGGGAUAAUUACUGCAUGAUCAAGACUUUUCUUGAGAAAGAUGCAGGUAGGAAACGGGUAGUCCUGCCUGUGAACCCCACAUGGCACAGAGAGAGUGGGGACUGCCAGCUCUGAUGGUGUGUCUGAGCUCCUCACGUUGCUGAGGGCAUGCAGCAGCCUCUGCCCUGGGUUCUCUUGUUCUCUCUGAAUGAGGAGAGGAGGUAAAUGUGACCAGGCUGGAGAGCCAUUUCCCAAGCCCCUGCCUGUUCUGGAAUCCUAGGAGAGCCAGAGCAGUGAGGAAGAAGAGCAGCUGGAGUAGACAUCUGAGGCUCAGUGGUGAUGGCACUUCCCUUCUCGAGGCUUGGUCUUCCACCACCAGAAGCUUUGAAUCAUCUCAGGGGUUAUUGCUUCCCCCCAGAUUUUCUCCUUCAUCAGACUCCAGAAUGCUCUGUCACAGCACAGGAGCAGCUCAAGGCAUGGGAUGACCUGCUUGUGCCAGCAAGGAUAUGUCCUGGUAGUUCUGCAGUGCUCUGCCAUAGCCAUCUCACCAGCACCUUGGUGCCUGCAAAUGUCCUCUGAGAAUGAAGGAGCUCACAACUCCUCUUUUCACCCUGUGUCCUUGUAUCCAUCUAGACCCUAUCCUCUGCUUGAGUUUAGCCUAGCUGUGCUGUCCUGUGCUGCUGAGACUGAAACAACCAAUAAAUUGUUCUGGUUUGCAGGGGCUGCCUGGCUCACAAAAACUCCUGCCUUGAUUUGUGUGUGAAGGCCUUGACCCCAUGAAUCUUCGUGCAGGAGCUUGGAGCAGGCUUUUCCAGCCCCUGGCAUCUCCAAGGAAGCACACCCAAGGUGCUGCAUGCUCCCAGUGCAGAGCUUUGAGUGGCUGCUUUCCCUCCUCCUCAUCCUAUAGGUGACACCAUCUCCCCUAUGCACAGCUGGACCUCUGUGCUGGUCUGUCUCUUCCUCUGUGGGUGCUGGUGCUCAUCUCCCAUUUUGGGAGGUGCAGUUGGUCCUCUUGGGACAUCUGUGUCCUGCAGCCUUGGGAUCUGCUGGCUCUUGUCUCUUGGCUGCUGCUGCUGUCCCAUCACCUCCACCACCACUGUCUCCCAGCCUGUGGAAUGCCAGUGCCCAGUGCAGCCUGGAUGCUGAGGCACAGUCCCAAAGCUCUCCUGGGUGAGGGGUGCACUGCUGGCCAAUGGAG